GUCUACAGCCAGACCAUCCUGAACAUGCCCAAUCUCGUCUGAUCUUGGAAGCUAAGCAGGGUCAGGCCUGGUUAGUAUGGGAGACCGCCUGGGAAUACUGGGGACUGUAGGCU
rnacentral:rRNA from 1 species